CCUGGUGGCUCAGAUGGUAAAGCGUCUGCCUGCAAUGCGGGAGACCCGGGUUCGAUUCCUGGGUCAGGA
rnacentral:tRNA from 1 species